GACGAACGCUGGCGGCGUGCUUAACACAUGCAAGUCGAACGGUAAGGCCCUUCGGGGUACACGAGUGGCGAACGGGUGAGUAACACGUGGGUGAUCUGCCCUGCACUUCGGGAUAAGCCUGGGAAACUGGGGCUAAUACCGGAUAGGACCACUGCCUGCAUGGGUGGUGGUGGAAAGCUUUUGCGGUGUGGGAUGGGCCCGCGGCCUAUCAGCUUGUUGGUGGGGUGAUGGCCUACCAAGGCGACGACGGGUAGCCGGGCUGAGAGGGUGAACGGCCGCACUGGGAAUGAGAUACGGCCCAGACUCCUACGGGAGGCAGCAGUGGGGAAUAUUGCACAGUGGGCGCAAGCCUGAUGCGGCGACGCCGCGUGAGGGAUGACGGCCUUCGGGUUGUAAACCUCUUUCAGCACCGACGAAGCGCAAGUGACGGUAGGUGCAGAAGAAGGACCGGCCAACUACGUGCCAGCCGCCGCGGUAA
rnacentral:rRNA from 1 species